rnacentral:rRNA from 1 species
UGGGGAAUUUUGCACAAUGGGGGAAACCCUGAUGCAGCGACGCCGCGUGAUUUAGAAGGCCUUCGGGUUGUAAAAAUCUUUUCUAUGGGAAGAAAAUGACAGUACCAUAGGAAUAAGGACCGGCUAAUUACGUGCCAGCAGCCGCGGUAAUACGUAAGGUCCGAGCGUUGUCCGGAAUCAUUGGGCGUAAAGGGUACGUAGGCGGGUAAGCAAGUUAGAAGUGAAAUCCUAUAGCUCAACUAUAGUAAGCUUUUAAAACUGCUCAUCUUGAAGUAUGGAAGGGAAAGUGGAAUUCCUAGUGUAGCGGUGAAAUGCGCAGAUAUUAGGGGGAAUACCGGUGGCGGAGGCGACUUUCUGGCCAUAACCUGACGCUGAGGUACGAAAGCGUGGGUAGCAAACAGG